rnacentral:rRNA from 1 species
GGGGGGGGGGGGGGGGGGGGGGGGGGGGGGGGGGGGGGGGGGGGGGGGGGGGAGCUUGCGGCUCGGACGUGAGGGGCGGGCGGGUGGGGAACGCCUGGAUAACCUGCCUAUGAGGCUGGGAUAAGUUCGGGAAACCGGCGCUACUACCGGAUAAGAUAUUGACCCGCAUGGUUCCAUAUUGCGCGACGGUGUUGCUGUCACGUAUCGCUGUAUCCGCGCCGCAUUAGCUAGUUGGUAAGGUAACGGCUUACCACGGCGACGAUGCGUAGCCGACCUGCGAGGGUGAUCGGCCACACUGGAACUGAGACACGGUCCAGCCUCCUACGGGAGGCAGCAGUAGGGAAUCUUCCGCAAUGGGCGAAAGCCUGACGGAGCAACGCCGCGUGAGUGAUGAAGGUCUUCGGAUCGUAAAACUCUGUUAUUAGGGAAGAACAAAUGUGUAAGUAACUAUGCACGUCUUGACGGUACCUAAUCAGAAAGCCACGGCUAACUACGUG